rnacentral:rRNA from 1 species
AUUGAACGCUGGCGGGAUGCCUUACACAUGCAAGUCGAACGGAGUGGCGAACGGGUGAGUAAUGUAUCGGAACGUGCCCGGUAGCGGGGGAUAACUACGCGAAAGCGUAGCUAAUACCGCAUACUAUUAGAGCGGCCGAUAUCGGAGUAGGUAGUUGGUGGGGUAACGGCUCACCAAGGCGACGAUCCGUAGCUGGUUUGAGAGGACGACCAGCCACACUGGGACUGAGACACGGCCCAGACUCCUACGGGAGGCAGCAGUGGGGAAUUGUGGACAAUGGGGGAAACCCUGAUGCAGCCAUCCCGCGUGUACGAAGAAGGCCUUAGGGUUGUAAAGCACUUUUAGCCGGGAAGCGUUACCUGCAGAAUAAGCACCGGCUAACUACGUGCCAGCAGCCGCGGUAAUUC